GAUGAAGAACGUAGCGAAAUGCGAUAAGUAAUGCGAAUUGCAGAAUUUCCGUGAGUCAUCGAAUCUUUGAACGCACAUUGCGCCCCUUGGUAUUCCAUGGGGCAUGCCUGUUCGAGCGUCAUUUGUACCUUCAAGCUAUGCUUGGUGUUGGGUGUUUGUCUACUCCACGGUGUUUAGACUCGCCUUAAAGUAAUUGGCAGCCUAUAUUUGGUUUUGAGCGCAGCACAUUUUGCGUCUUACCGCCAGUCAUGUAGGCACCCAUUAAGCCUUUUUAUCACGUUUGACCUCGGAUCAGGUAGGGAUACCCGCUGAACUUAAGCAUAUCAAUAAGCGGAGGA
rnacentral:misc_RNA from 1 species